AACAGGUUGAAGUUAACUGCUGUUGCUAGGUGACCGGAACACUGUUCUCAUCUCCUCCGCGUCCUACAUGGCUACAGAACAAGGGUUAUAAGUGAAAGAUCAUUAAAAAGGGUCGGAGGCGUAGGACUCCGGUGAGAUGUCCAUGCUGCUCCAUUUCUACUGGAUGUGUCACAGGAGUUUUGUUUAUGGAAAGACUGACGAAAGAGGGGCAUCAAUACAGGAAGUAACAGUAGAGGACAGGAGAGAGAGGGGAAAGACACAGAGAUUCAGAGAUAGACACAGCUGACUGCAGCUCAUUACUCCAGGGAUGAGCGCCUCAGGUUGGCUUUGGAUCUCGCUGAAGCAGUCUGUGUGUGUUGGCAGGAAGAUCAUGACUGCAUGGAUGUGGACCAUCUCUCACUCUCCUCAGCAUCUUGGUCGGAAGUCUGGGAGAAGAAGAGGCUGACAACCAGAACAGGUGGAAGCUGUCAAACAGCGUGUGCAGUCUGGCACAGUUGUACAUCACAAACACUCCUCCUCUCGGGCCUUUGGUGGACACGCCGCCUUCCCUCUGGACAUCCAGUGUCACCUAAACAG